rnacentral:sRNA from 1 species
AAGCGAGAAAGCGUUGCCGCAGGCAACGACCCGAAGCGCGCAGCGCUGAGUCAUCCUUCCCCCACCACCA